GUGAACCACGCGGCGCUGACCGCACUUGUGGAUCGUUGGAGGCUCGAGACUCACUCCUUCCACCUUCCCUGUGGGGAGAUGACGAUGACCCUAGAGGACAUGGCUAUGAUAAGCGGCCUUCCUAUCAACAGACAAGCUAUUACCGGUCGUGUCAGCGCCAUUAAUUGGCGAGCUCGGGUUGGCAUUUCAAUUGGUGUUGAGCCCGAUCCCCCUCUGCCAGGCAAGGCCAAUAGCUCGAAAGUGAGGCAUUCUUGGCUAAAACAUGUCAGAGGAGAAACAAGUCCAUGCCCUGAGGGUGCCAAUGCCGUGGUUGUGCAGCAGUACGCGCGGACCUAUCUUUGGUAUGUACUAACCAAGGUAGUCUUCUCAGACGCAACUGGGAACUCAGCCCUCUAG
rnacentral:rRNA from 1 species